CCAGCCCGCUCCUCCCUUUUAAAUAUUGAAGCCCUCAAAAUCAUCUUUAGAUAAAGGCACAGACCUCCCUCCCAAGCAUGUCCUUAACCUUGGCAAAAUAAACUUCCAAAUUGAUUGAGAGCUGGUUUUGGUUUACAAGCUGGCAGCCAAAGGAAGUGACUCAGUGGAGGUGGCCCUGACCUUUGACAAAUCUAUCAGUGCUUGGUACCAGCUUGGGCUAUUUUUAUUGCUCAAACAGGACAAUUUGCUGAGGCCUGGGAGCACCCCACUCCAGAGAAUCCCUGAUGUCCCAAAAUUUGGUUGAGAUCUAAAGUUUAUUUUGCUGUACACCUCUUUGUCUGCAGUUUUACUUACUCCCAACAAAGAAGGUGCGUUUUCCUGCCUCCAUGACGAUGGAGGGGAGGCAACUCCUUUCUGGAAUUUCAUCUGGCUUCCAGCAGGGAAGGAAUCAAUCCAAGUUCAUCUACAGCGGAUUCGGAAGGGACUAGACCUUCCGCAAUG
rnacentral:lncRNA from 1 species